AGUGUAGUAGCAGCUUCUCUGACCUCUUCAUUGGUAAGGUUCCUCUGGGGUGAGUCAGCGGAGAAGGCCUUUCAGGAGCUGAAGUCACGUUUUACCUCUGCUCCUAUUCUGACCACGCCUGAUCCAUCCCGCCAAUUCAUUGUUGAGGUGGAUGCCUCGGAUAGUGGAAUUGGAGCGGUCCUGUCUCAAAGGUCAGCUAAGGAUGGUAAAGUACACCCCUGUGCCUUCUACUCCUAUAGACUGUCUCCGUCUGAACGGAAUUAUGACGUUGGAGAUCUCCUUGCUGUGAAGAUGGCUCUACAGGAGUGGCGUCACUGGCUGGAGGGUGCAGAACUCCCAUUCCUCAUCUGGACAGACCAUAGGAACUUGGAGUACAUGAAGUCUGCAAAACGGCUAAAUGCCUGUCAGGCCAGGUGGUCCUUGUUUUUUUUUAACCGUUUUAACUUCACUCUGUCUUUUCGCCCAGGUUCCAAAAACGGAAAGCCAGACGCUCUCUCCCGCCAGUUCUGUGCUCCUGAGGUGUUGUGCGGCUGAAACCAUUCUGCCCACUAGGUGUCUGGUAGGGGCUGUGUCUUGGGGGAUUGAGAGGAGGGUCCAGAGGGCACUGCAGAAGGAGUCCAGUCCGGAGGAUUGUCCUACUAACUGUCUGUUUGUUCCGAGGUCUGUUCGCUCUGAAGUCCUGCAGUGGGGUCACUCUUCCAGCUUGGCGUGUCAUGCUGGGAUCAGGAGGACGAUGGCGUGCCUUCGCCAACGCUUCUGGUGGCCUAAGAUGGUGGAUGAUGUCCGCUCCUUCAUUGCGGCCUGCUCAACCUGCGCAUGUAAUAAGACCUCCAACCAACCACCUGUGGGUCUCCUUCAACCUCUGCCGGUUCCCAAACGACCAUGGUCCCACAUCGCCCUGGAUUUCGUGAGUGGACUUCCCCCUUCUGAUGGUAACACAACUGUGCUUACCAUAGUUGACAUGUUCUCAAUGUCAAUGCAUUUUAUCCCUCUGCCAAAGCUCCCCUCGGCCAAAGAGACUGCUGUUCUGGUAAUGAAUCACGUUUUUAAGAUUCAUGGCCUUCCAUGUGAUGUUGUGUCAGAUCGGGGCCCUCAGUUUGUCUCUGUCUUCUGGAGAGAGUUUUGCAGAUGCCUUGGAGCCACCACUAGCCUCAUCUGGUUUCCACCCACAAACCAAUGGCCAGACCGAGCGGGCUAACCAGGACUUGGAGCGGGUCCUGAGGUGUCUGUCAUCCCAGAAUCCAACUUCUUGGUGUCGACAUUUGGCAUGGGCUGAGUAUGCCCAUAACUCGCUACCUGUUGCUGCCACUGGUUUGUCGCCUUUCCAAUGCUCAUUGGGCUACCAACCUCCUCUGUUUUCUUCCCAGGAGUCAGAGGCCUCUGUUCCCUCUGUCCAGGCCUUCAUCCGACGCUGCAAAUCCACUUGGAGACGAGCCCGGGCCGCGUUGCUGCACUCAGGUUCCCAGGUCAAGCGGGGGGCAGAUCGACGAAGAGUCAAGGCACCUCACUACCGGAGGGGGCAGAGAGUCUGGCUCUCCACCAAGGACCUGCCGCUGAAGGUAGAGUCCCGGAAGCUGGCCCCUCGGUUCAUCGGACCUUAUCUGGUCGAACGGGUCCUCGGUCCUUCCGCAGUCCGGCUGAGACUACCUUCAUCCCUUCGCCGGAUACAUCCAACCUUCCACGUCUCAAAGAUCAAGCCUGUCCGCCACAGCCCCCUUUCUCCACCGGCUGUGGCCCCCCUCCCCCCCUUAUCAUCGACGGGGCUCCUGCCUUUACAGUCAGGAAGUUGCUGGAUGUCCGGCGCCGGGGACGAGGGCUCCAGUUUUUGGUCGACUGGGAGGGCUACGGUCCAGAGGAGCGCUCCUGGGUACCUUCUCGUACCUUUCCGCCGUCAGCACCCCAACCAUCCCGCUCUGGCGCCAAGAGGCGCACGUUGAGGGGAGGGUACUGUCAGUAUUUGGACUCUGUUUCUGUUUUGACAUGUGUUUUUGUUGUGGUAGUUCCCUGUCGGAUUGGCGCAACUGUUGUGCUACCCUGUUCCGUGAGUUGUCUGUGUUUUUUGGAAAGUAACUUUUCCUGCUUAAGUCUCCUUGAAGGAAUACUUUUUUGAACUGUUAGCUUACAGAAGCUUUUUGUGUUUUUCGGCGUGGAAGCCUACAGUGGUCGUGUGCCCUGUUUUUGUGUUUGCCUUUUUGAUCCUCUGUUUUUUGUGGAAUAAAUCCUACUUUCAUCGAUCUGGGAUUGGGUCCUCUUUUGAAAUCCUGACAGUCUGCUGCAGACUCUGAGAGAGGGCCUGUGUGUGUGUCUCUCUCUCUCUCUCUCUCUCUCUCUCUCUCUCUCUCUCUCUCUCUCACCUGCCGGGACGAGGGAGCCGGGGAGCCCAACAAGCUUGUUGUGGUUUAAUAAAUAUACUUAUAUGCAUCUCCGGAGUCCUGAGGUAACUUGAGUGAAUUUUUUACCUAAGUCCAUUCUCUAAAAUAAUUUGUUGGGCUACAACUGAGUCUGGCUUAACUUGUGUUAGAGUGAGAUGAUGAAUCAGCCAGAUAAAGAAACUAGACACCAUAAUGAGUUUAUGAACUGAGUGAUUUAUUUUAAAGAGUAGAGAGAUGGUCAAGUAUGCAAAAUGCAAUAAAUAGGUAUACGUACAUUCAGAAAUGUACAAAAGCACUGUACAAUUAAUUGCUGUGUACAAUUAAUAUAUACCAUCAAAACAGAGAUGAGAUUAUAUGAUCUGUAUGAGUUCUGAACCUAUACAUGACAAGCAAAGUUUAAUUGUAAAUAGCGAAAUGGAAAUGUAAGACAAACCAGUAUGAAUUCCCUGUAUAGUGCACUUUACCAAUGAGGUCCACUGAUGAGAUUGAAAAUUCAACCUUUUCCUCUACAGUAGUUUGGUAAUAGAGACUGUGCUUUGGGGCUCCACACUGUACAGGCCAAGUCCAACACAAACAGGCUGAUUGAAGGAGGCUUUGAAACCAUAGAGAUUCUCCAACCUGCGUCCCUUCUCAGCAAAACUGAUGGUACCCCUUACAGACCUUUAUUAUCUGUAUCAUAUUGCUAUUCAGGGAUUUUUGGAUCUUCCUCCGUUCAUUGUUGUGGAGGGCGAGAAGGUGACCCAUCUUAUUGUGUCGGAGGCCCCAAGACUCAUUAGUUCCAAGUCUGAUGCCAAGCGUUCCUUUCCUGCUGAUGCUUUUGUAGGCCACACCGAUGUCCCAGUAGCCCUGUGUUUCCACUAACCAGCUGUGCUUCCCAGUGGAGAUGCACUCCGUAGUCAGGGCCUGGGGGAUAUCAUCAAAUCGGGAGGGGUGUGAAGGGUAGCGCUGAUCGACUGAGACCCGGACAGCAGUGGUCGUUGUUCACUUUGAGGAGAGGGUUUACUGUGUCCAUAUCCAGAGUGAUUCCAACGGCUGCAGAGUUUGAAGGGGGGGCUGC
ensembl:lncRNA